UCGGCUGCAUGAAGUUGGAAUCGCUAGUAAUCGCGGAUCAGAAUGCCGCGGUGAAUACGUUCCCGGGUCUUGUACACACCGCCCGUCACACCAUGGGAGUCGGGAAUGCCCGAAGUCGGUGACCUAACCGAAAGGGAGGAGCCGCCGAAGGCAGGCCUGGUAACUGGGGUGAAGUCGUAACAAGGUACC
rnacentral:rRNA from 1 species